rnacentral:rRNA from 1 species
UUUGCCUACGGGGCGCAGCAGUGGGGAAUAUUGCACAAUGGGAGGAACCCUGAUGCAGCGACGCCGCGUGGGUGAAGGAGCGUUUCGGCGCGUAAAGCCCUAUCGGCAGGGAAGAAGGAGGACGGUACCUGACUAAGAAGCCCCGGCUAACUACGUGCCGGCAGCCGCGGUAAUACGUAGGGGGCAAGCGUUAUCCGGAUUUACUGGGGGUAAAGGGAGCGCAGACGGCAGCGCAAGCCAGGAGUGAAAGCCCGGGGCCCAACCCCGGGACUGCUCUUGGAACUGCGCGGCUGGAG